AUGGAUGAGCUCAAUGGCGUGCUGCAGGAGAACGACGACGGCGACAAGCAUCAGAUAGAGAUGGGAGAUAUAGGGGAGGGCACCGGCGGCUGCGGAGCUCACCGUCGAGGGUCAAUGGGCUGCACGGCAGCCAGGUGCAGGGGGGAGCGCGGUGGGCUGCAGCUCAUGGCCCGGAGGCCUCGGCCCGAACACCGGCGAGCUCGAGCGCCCCAGCGACGGCGGAGCUCAUCGUCGAGGGUCCCCGUGCUGCGCCGCAGCGAGGUGCAGGGGCAGGGGAUGGAGCUGCAGGGGAGCCGCGGUGGAACUGCUGCUCGUGGCCAGGCGGCCUAG
rnacentral:rRNA from 1 species